rnacentral:rRNA from 1 species
GACGAACGCUGGCGGCGUGCCUAAUACAUGCAAGUCGAACGCAGUGGGGACGGGUGAGUAACACGUGGGUAACCUCCCAUCAGAGGGGAUAACACUUGGAAACAGGUGCUAAAACGAUACUGAUGGAUGGACCCGCGGUGCUUUAGCUAGUUGGUGAGGUAACGGCUCACCAAGGCCACGAUGCAUAGCGGACCUGAGAGGGGGUUCGGCCAAAUGGGGACUGAGACACGGCCCAGACUCCGACGGAAGGCAGCAGUAGGGAAUUUCGGGCAAUGGAGGAAAGUCGGACCGAGAAACGCCGCGUGAGUGAAGAAGGUUUUCGGAUCGUAAAACUCUUUUGUUAGAGAAGCGGUAUCUAACCAGAAAGCCACGGCUAACUACGUGCCAGCAGCCGCGGUAAUAC